CCUCAAAAUCUAGCCAUCAUGUCGAGGUCCAAAGAAAUUCAGGAACAAAAGAGAAAGAAAGCGAUUGGGAUCUAUCAGUCUGGAAAAGGUUAUGAAGCCAUUUCUAAAGCUUUGGGACUCCAGUGAACCACAGUGAGCCAUUAUCCACAAAAAUGGUGAAAACAUGGGACAGUGGUGAACCUUCCCAAGAGUGGCUAGCCGACCAAAAUUACCCCAAGAGUGCAGCGACGACUCAUCCAAAAGACCCCACAACAACCUCUGAAGAACUGCAGGCCUCACUCGCCUCAGUUAAGGUCAGUGUUCAUGACUCCACCAUAAGAAAGAGACUGGGCAAAAAUGGCCUGCAUGGCAGAGUUCCAAGACAUAAACCACUGCUGAGCAAAAAGAACAUGAAGGCUCAUCUCAGUUUUGCUAGAAAACAUCUUGAUGAUCCCCAAGACCUUUGGGAAAAUACUCUGCGGACUGACGAGACAAAAGUUGAACUUUUUGGAAGGACCUGGAAGACUUGCUGUGGUGAAACCAUGAAUUCUGCUGUCUACAAAAAAAUCCCGAAGGAGAAGGUCAGGCCAUCUCUUUGUGACCUCAAGUUGAAGUGGACUUGGGUCCUGCAGCAAGACAAUGAUUUAAAACACACCAGCAAGUCCACCUCUGAAUGGCUGAAGGAAAAACAAUAUGAAGACCUUGGAGUGGCCAAGUCAAAGUCCUGACCUGAAUCCUAUUGUGAUGCUGUGGCAUGACCUUAAAAAGGUGGUUCAUGCUCGAAAACCCUCCAGUGUGGCUGAAUUACAACAAUUCUGCAAAGAUGAGUGGGCCAACAUUCCUCCACAGUGCUGUAAAAGACUCAUUGCAAGUUAUCGCAAAGGCUUGAUUGCAGUUGUUGCUGCUAAGGGUGGCCCAACCAGUUAUUAGGUUUGGGGGGUAGUCACUUUUUUACACAUGGCCGUGUAGGUUUUUCCCCCUUAAUAAUAAAAACCUUCAUUUUAAAAACUGAAAAAUGUAAGUGUUACAAACAUGCAAAAAAAAGAAAUCAGGAAGGGGGCCAACACAUUUUCACACCACUGUACAUGUCUGGACAGUAUGAACAUGUGGGGUGAGACUGUCUGUGUGUGUGUGUUUGUUCUAAUUUGUGCAAUAAAAUGUGUGUGACUUCGA